UAAGGAACCAUUGCAAGCGAAUUCAUAAAUGAGAAGCCAUUCUAUUUCAAUGCAGUAUCCCACCAACAUCACCAAAUUCCUGUGCUGUGCACAGCUCAAUAUUUCAACUUCUGAACAAAAUUCUGAUGCUCCUUGUGCACUUAUUGUCUUGUGCUGCUUCACUGCAACAACUUGUCCAUCAGGCAAUAUUCCUUUGUAUACUAAACCACAUCCACCAUCCGCCAAGAGAUUAUCACUUGAGAAUCCAUCAGUUGCACUUUCUAUCUCUCUGUAACUGAACUUUCUCGUUGCCUUGCCAAAAAUGGGUGCCUUGUGCUUGCAAAUGGAACAAAGAGGUGGGGGUUUUGGUGGAUGCUUAAUAGAAAGGGACAUAGCCUUCCUGAUACUUGAGGUUCGUUGAAAUGUUGGUGAAGAUGGGGAUGCAGGGUUUUCUUCUCCAGGACUAAUCAUGCAAUACUUUCUGCUAGUGAGCUGAUUUGGGCUUUCAGGCUUUCUCAACAAGCGUGGUGAGUCUGCUGAUCUUCUAGUUGGAACUGAUACUAUCUGUGUCGCUUUUAUACCGUUAACUGUUUGCAUAUCAAAUUUAGUCUUCAAAUGGCCACUAUAGUUCUUUAUUUUCCCAUCCAAGGGGUCACCAAUCUUAAAACUUGAUGCCAAGUCUGAUUUACUAUAAGAAGGAGAGGGGCUAAAUAUUGUUUGCACUUGAACUUCUUGAUGGAAAUAAUCGGAAUUUAAAUGAAAAAUGGGGGUGUGGGAUCUGGACUUGAUGGUAGAAGGACUACUAGCCUUGUUGAACUGCUCCUUUCCUGGGCUUGACAAUGAUUCUGUAUGAAAGGUUGUACUUUCGAUGCCAAGAUUACUUCGAGUCGUUGUACUAUUGUGAUUGCCAGUGCUACUAGGUAGCAUUCCAAGCUUAUCACUUUGAUCUGUACUCACACUAAGUCUG
rnacentral:misc_RNA from 1 species